GACGAACGCUGGCGGCGUGCUUAACACAUGCAAGUCGAACGGAAAGGCCCUGCUUUUGUGGGGUGCUCGAGUGGCGAACGGGUGAGUAACACGUGAGUAACCUGCCCUUGACUUUGGGAUAACUUCAGGAAACUGUGGCUAAUACCGGAUAGGAGCUCCUGCUGCAUGGUGGGGGUUGGAAAGUUUCGGCGGUUGGGGAUGGACUCGCGGCUUAUCAGCUUGUUGGUGGGGUAGUGGCUUACCAAGGCUUUGACGGGUAGCCGGCCUGAGAGGGUGACCGGCGACAUUGGGACUGAGAUACGGCCCAGACGCCUACGGGAGGCAGCAGUGGGGAAUAUUACACAAUGGGCGGAAGCCUGAUGCAGCAACGCCGCGUGCGGGAUGACGGCCUUCGGGUUGUAAACCGCUUUCGCCUGUGACGAAGCGUGAGUGACGGUAAUGGGUAAAGAAGCACCGGCUAACUACGUG
rnacentral:rRNA from 1 species